UGAGAAAUCAGUGAAGAAUUGAAUGAUACAACAAAUGCUUCUCUCUCUACUUCUUCCUCUUUCCCUCCAUCUUCCCUUCUUUCUCAAUAUUCUUUCUCUGUUCUACUUCGUCCUCUGUUCUACUUCGUCCUCUGUUCUUCCCUUCUCUUUCUUAUUAUUCUUUUGCUGGUUUGGGUCAUUAAAAUUAAUCUUGUAAAAUAUAUACGUCGUAAAAAAUAAAAAAUAUGAAAAACUAAAAGAAAAUUAUUAUUUUAUUUGGUGUUUUAAACAUAGGAAUUAUAUUAAUUAAGUGUAAUUCAUGUUCCGCGAAUUGAAUUAAUAAGAUUCACAAACCAUGUUCCGAUUUGGCAUUCCAUCUAAACAUACUCCCCGUGUAUUCAAUACUAGGGGUGUGCGGUUCCAGUUCGGUUUGGGGUCUGUAAGGAACCAGAACCGAAUCGAAAUUUCGGUACUGUUCCGGUUUAGUUUUUCGUCAUUUUGGUUUCGGUUCUGGUUUGGGACGGUUCUUGGUUCUGGUUUGGGACGGUUCUUGGUUCUGGUUUGGUUCUCGGUUCAUGAAACAUUUUAUGUAUUUAUUUCCUUAAAAAAGUCAUAUUUAAAUUAACUUUUAAUUGAAUUAUUAAUACAUAAAAUAUCAUAUAAUAUGUAUUUUAACUAUUUCUAAAUUAUAUAAUAUUUAACAAUAAAUUGCAUAUAUAAUAUAGUAGUAUAAGUAUAUCAUAUAAUAU
rnacentral:misc_RNA from 1 species